ensembl:snRNA LOC120099529 U2 spliceosomal RNA
AUCGCUUCUCGGCCUUUUGGCUAAGAUCAAGUGUAGUAUUCGGUCGUUACCUGUGAAAAUUUGCAUUAUCAAGCUAAUAAGUUUUAAGUGUUUAUCUUCAUCAACUCCUAAAGUAACCAAUGGCAACAACAGCAUAGGUUUCUUUUUUUCUAGAAACAUUGAUCUGGUUGCACAAGUCAGAAUUAGUUGAGUCAUC